GCUGAUGUGGCUCAGGGGUAGAGCAGCGCACUCGUAAUGCGCAGGUCGCGGGUUCAAAUCCCGCCAUCAGCUCCA
rnacentral:tRNA from 1 species